rnacentral:miRNA from 1 species
GCCCCGGACGUGUUUCGCACCCCCUUGGUGCUUUCUCAACAUCAUUGUUGAGAAAGCACCAAGGGGGAGCGAAACACGUCCAG